GGAGGGUGCAAGCGUUGUUCGGAAUUACUGGGCGUAAAGCGCGUGUAGGGCGGCUUGGUAAGUCGGAUGUGAAAUCCCGGGGCCCAACCCCGGAACUGCACCCGAUACUGCCCGGCUCGAGUCCCGGAGAGGGUGGCGGAAUUUCCGGUGUAGAGGUGAAAUUCGUAGAUAUCGGAAGGAACACCAGUGGCGAAGGCGGCCACCUGGACGGUGACUGACGCUGAGACGCGAAAGCGUGGGGAGCAAACAGGAUUAGAUACCCUGGUAGUCCACGCCGUAAACGUUGGGUGCUAGACGUCGGGGGUAUUGACCCCUCCGGUGUCGGAGUUAACGCAUUAAGCACCCCGCCUGGGGAGUACGGCCGCAAGGCUA
rnacentral:rRNA from 1 species